CCUACGGGAGGCAGCAGUAGGGAAUAUUGCUCAAUGGGGGAAACCCUGAAGCAGCAACGCCGCGUGGAGGAUGAAGGUUUUCGGAUUGUAAACCUCUUUCGUCAGAGAAGAUAAUGACGGUAUCUAACGAAUAAGCACCGGUUAACUCCGUGCCAGCAGCCGCGGUAAUACGGAGGGUGCAAGCGUUACCCGGAAUCACUGGGCGUAAAGAGCGCGUAGGCGGGAUAGCAAGUCAGAUGUGAAAUUCUAUGGCUUAACCAGAGAACUGCAUUUGAAACUGGUAUUCUAGAGUUUGGGAGAGGUAGGUGGAAUUCCUGGUGUAGGGGUGAAAUGCGUAGAGAUUAAGAGGAAAACUGAUUGCGAAGGCGACCUACUGGAACCUAACUGACGCUGAUGCGCGAAAGCGUGGGGAGCAAACAGGAUUAGAUACCCGUGUAGUC
rnacentral:rRNA from 1 species